GUGACCAUUGACUCACUUCAGCAGCAAAUUGGAAGGAUACAGUGAAAAUUAGCAUGGUCUCUGCAUAAGUAUGAUACGCAAAUUCAACAACAGUUCUAUAUUUUU
ensembl:snRNA U6 U6 spliceosomal RNA